rnacentral:lncRNA from 1 species
UUGCUGACAGUACCAAAGCAAGCCCACAGAAAACUCCCGCUAACUUUCUUAGUACCUGUGAUUUGAACAGUGCAUUUUCGUGUCUGCGACCGCUGAAAUGAGCGUGCAGCAUGACUACAUAGUAAAUUGUGUAGCUGCCAAUGUACCCGUGAUCUCUUCUGUUCUGCAUCUGCAAACAUGGAUGAAAGGCUGCACCCAGCCAGUAGUAAAUUUCUUAGGCGCCUAUGUACUUGUGAACUCUGGGUUAAUUUGUCUGAUUGUUGAAACAAGUCUACAGAAAUGCCGUACCAAAUUU